AUUGAACGCUGGCGGCAUGCUUUACGCAUGCAAGUCGAACGGCAGCGCGGGCUUCGGCCUGGCGGCGAGUGGCGAACGGGUGAGUAAUACAUCGGAACGUGCCCAGCAGUGGGGAUAGCUCGGCGAAAGCCGGAUUACUUCCGCAUACGCCCCGAGGGUGAAAGCGGGGGAUCUUCGGGCUUUGCGCUCUUGGUGCGGCCGAUGGCGGAUUAGCCAGUUGGUGGGGUAAAGGCCUACCAAGGCGACGAUCUGUAGCUGGUCUGAGAGGACGACCAGCCACACUGGAACUGAGACACGGCCCAGACUCCUACGGGAGGCAGCAGUGGGGAAUAUUGGACAAUGGGCGAAAGCCUGAUCCAGCAAUGCCGCGUGUGUGAUGAAGGCCUUCGGGUUGUAAAGCACUUUUGGCGGGAACGAAAAGGACUGUGCCAAUACCACGGUUCGAUGACGGUACCCGCAGAAUAAGCACCGGCUAACUACGUG
rnacentral:rRNA from 1 species